rnacentral:rRNA from 1 species
GGCGGCAGGCUUAACACAUGCAAGUCGAACGCCCGAGCAAUCGGGAGUGGCAGACGGGUGAGUAACACGUGGGAACAUACCCUCAGGUUCGGAACAACGCCGGGAAACUGGCGCUAAUACCGGAUACGCCCUUUUGGGGAAAGGCUUGCUGCCUGAGGAUUGGCCCGCGUUCGAUUAGCUUGAUGGCGGGGUAACGGCCCACCAUGGCGACGAUCGAUAGCUGGUCUGAGAGGAUGGCCAGCCACAUUGGGACUGAGACACGGCCCAAACUCCUACGGGAGGCAGCAGUGGGGAAUAUUGGACAAUGGGCGCAAGCCUGAUCCAGCCAUGCCGCGUGAGUGAUGACGGCCUUAGGGUUGUAAAGCUCUUUCGCACGCGACGAUAAUGACGGUAGCGUGAGAAGAAGCCCCGGCUAACUUCGUGCCAGCAGCCGCGGUAAUACGAAGGGGGCUAGCGUUGUUCGGAAUCACUGGGCGUAAAGGGUGCGCAGGCGGGUUCAUAAGUCAGGGGUGAAAUCCCGAGGCUCAACCUCGGAACGGCCUUUGAUACUGUGGAUCUUGAGUCCGGAAGAGGUGAGUGGAACUG